GAUGAACGCUGGCGGCGUGCUUAACACAUGCAAGUCGAACGGAAAGGCCCAAGCUUGCUUGGGUACUCGAGUGGCGAACGGGUGAGUAACACGUGGGUGAUCUGCCCUGCACUUCGGGAUAAGCCUGGGAAACUGGGUCUAAUACCGGAUAGGACGAUGGUUUGGAUGCCAUUGUGGAAAGUUUUUUCGGUGUGGGAUGAGCUCGCGGCCUAUCAGCUUGUUGGUGGGGUAAUGGCCUACCAAGGCGUCGACGGGUAGCCGGCCUGAGAGGGUGUACGGCCACAUUGGGAUCGAGAUACGGCCCAGACUCCUACGGGAGGCAGCAGUGGGGAAUAUUGCACAAUGGGCGCAAGCCUGAUGCAGCGACGCCGCGUGGGGGAUGACGGCCUUCGGGUUGUAAACUCCUUUCGCUAGGGACGAAGCGUUUUUGUGACGGUACCUGGAGAAGAAGCACCGGCUAACUACGUG
rnacentral:rRNA from 1 species